GGAUUCUGUUCAUGGUUCUCCGGCUUCCUGCAUAGUCUAUGCUUGAGUCUAGAUGAUUGACUGCCCUUGGUCAGGAGGAUGGAGCAGUGCAGAGACUCUUUGGGUACCAGUGGAAAGAUCAUCUUGGAGAGAACACAUGGCCCGGGGCAACUUUAAUUUCUGCCAGCUAAGAGGACGAGCUGGGGAAGGUUGGCUUCCAGCUCGUCAGCAAACUUCCAUCCCCCUGGAUCUGACUUGGCUCGCUUUCAGUGCCUCUGUUCUUUGGACUCAUUGAGGGGUUGUUGUUUUCUUGUCUUUGAGGGGCAUCCUGAUGAGCGCGUGACUAGCAGUUCCAAGGGAGGAACUCACCUUGGCACCAAUGUCCCGGCUCUUGGCCCGCAGCUUGUUGACCUGGGACUCGGCGAUGUCCGCCCUCUCCUCCGCCUCAUCCAGCUCGUGCUGCACCUUGCGGAACUUGGACAGCCUUCCCAGGGAUGUCCUGUUUGGCACUCUCCUCAAACGUGCUCAGUGUUCAAGACCCGUCAUCGCUACCCACUGCCCGGAAUGAACCUGUGCUGCCCUGCGUGCUCUGAGAAUCCACAUCCACUGCAUCUAUUCCAGUUGUGCCUCAGACAGAUGCCUGCAGACUUGGGGGUUUUCUGCACAUCUGGGCUCAUCCACACCACACCCACAUGUUCCUGUCCACCCAAGUGUCUUCUUUUACCCU
rnacentral:lncRNA from 1 species